GAGGGUAUAGCUCAAGUGGUAGAGCCCAUGCUUAGCAUGCACGAGGUCCUGGGUUCAAUCCCCAGUAUCUCCU
rnacentral:tRNA from 1 species